GAGGAAUAAGCAUCGGCUAACUCCGUGCCAGCAGCCGCGGUAAUACGGGGGAUGCAAGCGUUAUCCGGAAUCAUUGGGCGUAAAGCGCCUGUAGGUUGUUUAUUAAGUCUGUUGUUAAAGACUAGGGCUCAACCCUAGAAAAGCAAUGGAAACUAAUAGACUCGAGUAUGGCAGGGGUAGAGGGAAUUUCUAGUGUAGCGGUGAAAUGCGUAGAUAUUAGAAAGAACACCGGUGGCGAAAGCGCUCUACUGGACCAUUACUGACACUCAGAGGCGAAAGCUAGGGUAGCAAAAGGGAUUAGAUACCCCUGUAGUCCUAGCCGUAAACGAUGGAUACUAGAUGUUGUGCAUUACGUACAGUAUCGUAGCUAACGCGUUAAGUAUCCCGCCUGGGGAGUACGCUCGCAAGGGUGAAACUCAAAGGAAUUGACGGGGGCCCGCACAAGCGGUGGAGCAUGUGGUUUAAUUCGAUGCAACGCGAAGAACCUUACCAGGGCUUGACAUACUACGGAUUUUUUUGAAAGAGAAAAGUGCCUUCGGGAAUGUAGAUACAGGUGGUGCAUGGCUGUCGUCAGCUCGUGUCGUGAGAUGUUGGGUUAAGUCCCGCAACGAGCGCAACCCUUAUUUUUAGUUACCAACUCGUUGGGUUCUCUAGAAAGACUGCCGGUGACAAACCGGAGGAAGGUGAGGAUGACGUCAAGUCAGCAUGCCCCUUAUGUCCUGGGCUACACACGUGCUACAAUGGUUAAGACAAAGAGUUGCGAGCUUGUAAAAGUCAGCUAAUCUCGUAAACUUAGCCUAAGUUCAGAUUGUAGGCUGCAACUCGCCUGCAUGAAG
rnacentral:rRNA from 1 species